rfam:Ictidomys tridecemlineatus contig047805, whole genome shotgun sequence.
AUUUCCACUGCUGGACCGAGGACACCUGGUUUGGAAUUCCUGGAGAAUUACCUUUGAGAGAAGCUGGAAAUAAUUUCUUUAAAUUUCAUCUCUUAGUUUCCAUGUAAGUAUUCACCUUGUAAUUUUGUUACAGAUUC